GUUGGGAAUGGACUUGUCAGACAAACAUUUAGUUCUCAUUUUUUUUCGCACAUGCAGACAAAAAUUUAUUGUGUCUAAAUUGGUAUAGUAAGAACCAAGUCCCAGUAUACCAGAUAAUAGUCUACAAAACAACUUCAGCAAAAGAAAAAACUGAAAUUGUUUAUUUAUUCAGUUGUGACCUAAAAAACUUAACUCAAUGGAUACAUUCAGCCCCACAAUCUACGAUUUGCUUAAGAAAUAUUGAAUAAAAGGCACAUUCUAUUAAAAUAAUCAAUUUUUAAUUAUACUUGACAACUGUUCAAACACUAAAAAAAUAUGCAAACCUUCCAAAGUAUGACUUGCUCGUAAAAGCUUGUGGGCCAUUUUGAAAUAUGCCUUCACUGUCAGGUAUGGUUCAAAAGUCUCCUUGUAGCCUCUCCUUCCCUAAAUUCUUCACUUUUUUUUUUUUCUCUUCCCAACUGUGGCUUCAAAAGUCUUCUUCAAAAAAGGGCUAGGUAAUGUAUUCUUUUCACCCAUUACGAGUGAAAAGGAGAGGCAAGGGUAAUGCAAAUGGUCUGACUCCCUUUCACCUGCUGCAAAUCUUCACCAGAGGCAACGGGAACGGCGAGAGAGAGAGAGAGAGAGA
rnacentral:misc_RNA from 1 species